GGUAGCACAGGUACUCAAGCCAUCCUGGAGUUGUACUGAAAUCACGUGAAAAGCAUGAAAAAGCAGUGUCCCUGCUAAAUGAAAUAGAUAUAGGAAGAUUUCCAUGAUUGCUCACCCGAAUUCUUCAAAAACUUCACCUGAAGGCACAGCGCCGCUCACACCAUGGCUUGGAUCCGGACUGCGCAACAACCUUUCGAGAGACGUGGGUCUUUGGAGCCUCUUUAGUCCCAGGCCGCAGGCAGCUCCGCGGCGGCGGCGGACGGAAAGGUAACUGGAGGAUCCGGGCCUGGCCCCCCCGGGGGCUCGGGCUCCGCUGUUUAGGAGGGGCCUGGCCCCCAUCCCCCGCCAGGCCCGGGCCUGGGGCCUUGUGGUGCCCUCACUCAGGCUGGCUUACUCAGGCUCGGAGCUUGGCUGGACCGCUCUGUGCAGCUUUCGCUCCGCCUUCUGGCGGCGGGGCGGGGCGGGGGUGGGGGUGGGGGGUGUCCUCCCACCGCGGGGUUCCUCAGCGAUGACGCCCCCGCGGCCCCGGCACCGGGCCUCGCCUCUACCAAGCCGGCCUAGUCCUGGACCACCCCUGCUCGCCUUCAGCUCCCCAGCCUCCUACUUGCCUUGCCCCGGGGAACCUUCAUCUUAAGCCAGCCCCUGCCCCUAGUCUCCGUAACCUUUCUUAGCCUCGCCGGGUGGAAGAGGCGGUUGAGUCAGCCCAGGCCUUUCGCGUCUGGGUGGCGUUGUCUUGCAUCUGGUAAAGGAGAAGUCAGCGCUCUGCGGGCCGCGGGGAGGGCCGGGCCCCGGGAAGUGAAAGGGGAGGUGGCCUUGUCGGAACGCUCCCUGGGCUCCGAGGUUGACGGAACUUUGGCUUCUGCGAUGCUCUUUACUUUGCCGUCUGAGCUUCAUCAGGAUGCGGGGGGGGGGUGGGUCGGGGGCAGUGUAGCAAGUUGAAAGCAAAUAACGGCUCCCUCAGAGCUUUGUUUGAACUGCUCGGUGAAAUGGGGCUGAAAUCUGCCUUACAAGAUGGGCCACUUAUCUGUGACCUUGGACAAGUCACUUCUCCUUUUUCGUUUCUUCUAAAGUGUGAAUAAACAAUGGACUGCUGCGAGGGUUAAAACA
rnacentral:lncRNA from 1 species